UACGUAGGGUGCAAGCGUUGUCCGGAAUUAUUGGGCGUAAAGAGCUCGUAGGCGGUUUGUCGCGUCUGCUGUGAAAAUCCAGGGCUUAACCCUGGACCUGCAGUGGGUACGGGCAGACUAGAGUGCGGUAGGGGAGAUCGGAAUUCCUGGUGUAGCGGUGAAAUGCGCAGAUAUCAGGAGGAACACCGGUGGCGAAGGCGGGUCUCUGGGCCGUAACUGACGCUGAGGAGCGAAAGUGUGGGGAGCGAACAGG
rnacentral:rRNA from 1 species